rnacentral:hammerhead_ribozyme from 1 species
UUCCAGCUGACGAGUCCCAAACAGGACGAAACGCUCGCUCUGGAU